CAUACUUUGUCUCCAUGUGUCCUUCCCUCUUCUGUAUACAUGUAUACAGGAGGAAGGGGGAAGGACACAUGGAGACAAAGUGUG
ensembl:miRNA